rnacentral:rRNA from 1 species
UACGUAGGGGGCAAGCGUUGUCCGGAUUUAUUGGGCGUAAAGAGCGUGUAGGCGGUUUGGUAGGUCCGCUGUGAAAACUCGAGGCUCAACCUCGAGACGCCGGUGGAAACCAUCAGACUAGAGUCCGGAAGAGGAGAGUGGAAUUCCUGGUGUAGCGGUGAAAUGCGCAGAUAUCAGGAAGAACACCCGUGGCUAAGGCGGCUCUCUAGUACGGUACUGACGCUGAGACGCGAAAAGCGUGGGGGAGCGAACAGG